AUUCAGCUGAUGAGUCCCAAAUGGGACGAAACACGCGUCCUGGAU
rnacentral:hammerhead_ribozyme from 1 species